GACGAACCGAGCGAACGUUAUUCGGAAUCACUGGGCUUAAAGGGUGCGUAGGCGGGCUUGUGAGUCAGGGGUGAAAUCCCACGGCCCAACCGUGGAAGUGCCUCUGAUACUGCAAGUCUAGAGGGGGACAGGGGCAUGCGGAACUUCCGGUGGAGCGGUGAAAUGCGUAGAUAUCGGAAGGAACACCGGUGGCGAAAGCGGCGUGCUGGAUCCCUACUGACGCUGAGGCACGAAAGCCAGGGGAGCAAACGGG
rnacentral:rRNA from 1 species